rfam:Myotis brandtii contig147626, whole genome shotgun sequence.
AAUUUUGCGCAGUGGCAGUAUCAUAGCCAAUGAGGUUUAUCCGAGGCGCGAUUAUUGCUAAUUGAAAAACAGAUUAAUAAAAAAUAUCAUAACUUUGCCAUACAUAAUAAAAACUGGUGACAUAAGUGAGUGAAAACAAUAUUG